CUUGGCGUCCAGCGCAGGCCGGCAGCGGCAGGGCUGGUCCCCGGGCUGCUUGCCGUUGCGGCAGCCUUGCUAAGGAGACCGGCUCCAUUAGCAAAGCCGUCUGUCCACGGGCGGGCGGCAGGGCCACUGCUCCGCCUGCUCCCGGCGGCACCAAGGCGGUGGCCCUGACCUGCAGAGGUCAGUGUUGGACACGCUGUAUGAGACAUCCCAGCUUCAGCAGUACGCAGUGUCCGUGUGCUCAUCAGGUGAUUGGGAGCAGCACAGUUUGUUACUGAGCUGCCUAAACGGAGGAAGCUCUUGCUGUUCUAGCACCACCAGGCCAGACAAUCCUUCCCUUGGCUGAAGAUCACGUUGGAUCUCUUCCCAUAAUGGAAG
rnacentral:lncRNA from 1 species